rnacentral:rRNA from 1 species
AGUGAACGCUGGCGGUAGGCCUAACACAUGCAAGUCGAACGGCAGCACAGUAAGAGCUUGCUCUUACGGGUGGCGAGUGGCGGACGGGUGAGGAGUACAUCGGAAUCUACUUUUUCGUGGGGGAUAACGUAGGGAAACUUACGCUAAUACCGCAUACGACCUACGGGUGAAAGCAGGGGAUCUUCGGACCUUGCGCGAUUGAAUGAGCCGAUGUCGGAUUAGCUAGUUGGCGGGGUAAAGGCCCACCAAGGCGACGAUCCGUAGCUGGUCUGAGAGGAUGAUCAGCCACACUGGAACUGAGACACGGUCCAGACUCCUACGGGAGGCAGCAGUGGGGAAUCUUGGACAAUGGGCGCAAGCCUGAUCCAGCCAUACCGCGUGAGUGAAGAAGGCCUUCGGGUUGUAAAGCCCUUUUGUUGGGAAAGAACAGCAGCAGGUUAAUACCCCGCUGUUCUGACGGUACCCAAAGAAUAAGCACCGGCUAACUUCGUG